rnacentral:rRNA from 1 species
AGAGUAUGAUAGAGGAAAGCAGAAUUUCUAGUGUAGAGGUGAAAUUCGUAGAUAUUAGAAAGAAUACCAAUUGCGAAGGCAGCUUUCUGGAUCAUUACUGACACUGAGGAACGAAAGCAUGGGUAGCGAAGAGGAUUAGAUACCCUCGUAGUCCAUGCCGUAAACGAUGUGUGUUAGACGUUGGAAAUUUAUUUUCAGUGUCGCAGCGAAAGCGAUAAACACACCGCCUGGGGAGUACGACCGCAAGGUUAAAACUCAAAUGAAUUGACGGGGACCCGCACAAGUAGUGGAGCAUGUGGUUUAAUUCGAAGAUACGCGCAGAACCUUACCAACACUUGACAUGUUCGUCGCGACUCUAAGAGAUUAGAGUUUUCGGUUCGGCCGGACGAAACACAGGUGCUGCAUGGCUGUCGUCAGCUCGUGUCGUGAGAUGUUGGGUUAAGUCCCGCAACGAGCGCAACCCUCACUUUUAGUUGCCAUCAUUAAGUUGGGCACUCUGAAAGAACUGCCAGUGAUAAGCUGGAGGAAGGUGGGGAUGACGUCAAGUCCUCAUGGCCCUUACGUGUUGGGCUACACACGUGCUACAAUGGUAUCUACAACAGGAAGCAAGACUGCGAAGUUAAGCAAAUCCUUAAAAGAUACCUCAGUUCGGAUUGCACUCUGCAACUCGAGUGCAUGAAGCUGGAAUUACUAGUAAUCGUGGAUCAGCGUGCCACAGUGAAUGCGUUCCCGGGUCUUGUACACACCGCCCGUCACACCAUGGGAGUUGGUUCUACCUUAAGGCAAGGUUUAAAACCCUUGACCACGGUAUAGUCAGCGACUGGGGUGAAGUCGUAACAAGGUAAC